rnacentral:rRNA from 1 species
UCCGUAGGUGAACCUGCGGAAGGAUCAUUACCGAGUUCAUGCCCUUCGGGGUAGAUCUCCCACCCUUUGUAUACUAUACCUUUGUUGCUUUGGCGGGCCGCCUAGCUACUGGCUUCGGCUGGUAAGUGCCCGCCAGAGAACCCAAAACCCUGAAUUAUUAGUGUCGUCUGAGUAAAAUAUUUAAUAUUUAAAACUUUCAACAACGGAUCUCUUGGCUCUGGCAUCGAUGAAGAACGCAGCGAAAUGCGAUAAGUAAUGUGAAUUGCAGAAUUCAGUGAAUCAUCGAAUCUUUGAACGCACAUUGCGCCCCUUAGUAUUCCGAGGGGCAUGCCUAUUCGAGCGUCAUUAUCACCCCUCAAGCCUAGCUUGGUGUUGAGACCUGCUGUCAAGGCAGUCUCUAAAAUCAGUGGCAGUGCUGUCAGGCUCUAAGCGUAGUAAAUUCAUCGCUAUAGACACCUGGUGGCCACUCGCCAGAACCCCCCCCAUUUUUUAAUGAUUGACCUCGGAUUAGGUAGGGAUACCCGCUGAACUUAAGCAUAUCAAUAAGCGGAGGA